AACGAACGCUGGCGGCAGGCCUAACACAUGCAAGUCGAGCGCGCCCUUCGGGGUGAGCUGCGGACGUGUGGGUAACGCGUGGGAACGUGCCCUUCUCUCCGGAAUAGCCUCGGGAAACUGCGUGUAAUACCGCCUACGCCCCUGGGUGGAAAGAUUUAUCGGAGAAGGGUCGGCCCGCGUUGGAUUAGGAAGUUGGUGGGGUAAUGGCCCACCAAGCCGACGAUCCAUAGCUGGUUUGAGAGGAUGAUCAGCCACACUGGGACUGAGACACGGCCCAGACUCCUACGGGAGGCAGCAGUGGGGAAUCUUAGACAAUGGGGGCAACCCUGAUCUAGCCAUGCCGCGUGAGUGAUGAAGGCCUUAGGGUUGUAAAGCUCUUUCAGCUGGGAAGAUAAUGACGGUACCAGCAGAAGAAGCCCCGGCUAACUCCGUG
rnacentral:rRNA from 1 species